GAAUCUCGCGUGGCGCAUUCUUUUCGCGGGUCGGGCGCGCGCGAUUCCCGGAGGAAAAUGAAAUUCAUUCCGAACCGCGGAACGACGCCGGUCGAACGGAUCGUGCGCUCGUAUCGGUGCGAGUACUUUUAUGUCCCCGUUAAUAGACUCAUCGCUGUACCACGGGUUCUGCGAAUUUCGAAUGUCACCGGUCGUUCGGGAUUUACCGCGCGCGACCGGCUGAAAGUGAAGAUAUUCGUUGCGACGAAGAUAUUCGGGGAGACGGUGAAUUUCCGUCUGCGAUUUCUUCCCUGGAUUUUAUGGCCACCCUUAAUGCUCGGUUGGCUAUGGUACGGGGACGUUUGUAAUUAACACGAUUAUGGUUAGAGUACAUGCUCUUUGUUUUUUGAGCUACUGCUUUUGAGGUAUUUGUUACUGAAAUGAACAUGUAAGCAGUUGAAAUAUUCACUGGAUUAGGGGUUGAAAUGUUAAUACUAGAUUUAUAGAUGUUUAUUCUAUAGUUUGUUCUGUUGGUUCUAGAACACGUGUUUAUUUAUAUAGAUCAUGAAAGUUGUAGCUUAAAAAUUAGUGUUACAAUGUAUAAUUGCAGGAAUUGAAGUCAACACGAUAGUGCUUGCGUCACGUUUUACCGACAAUUUGGAAGGAUAACAAAGUGUAUUCCACUGUAAGUGUAAAUUUUCUUUCAAGAUACUAAACUCGGUAAUAGCGAAGCAUGUCUUUUGCAUUUUGUCACCGAUAGCUUUGUAUUGUUACGAUUAAUAUUUUUCAGAUUGAUGCGUCGUAUAAAGUAAAUAUUAAAUACCAAAUUUUAUCAAAAUCAGGUGGCUAGUGAGAGCCACUCGAGUGCAAAGGUUUAAUAUUCGUGCUUUCUAGGUUGCAAGCGGGUAGUCCGAAGAAAAUAUUCUGUUCGCCGUGGAAGCUUUAAGACCGACGCGACAUCCAGAAGGGAUAAGCGGUAGAAAUAUCCGCGGGACGUAACGCUCGCCGGUUGUCGACGGAAUUUUACUUAGUCCCGGCUUUCAUUUCUUUUUCUGCGUCGAAAAGGAAGAUAUCGGCGCUGGAUUUGGCGCGAGGCGCGACUGCUGCCGCGUGGGACGGCCGCGAGUACAUUCGGGCUGCCCACAUGGAGCGCCGUAACGCAUCGGUCAGUAAAAUAUCGAGGCUCUCCGGCGUGAUUUUGAAUGGCCGCCGGUUUCGAGGAAACGUCGCUGUUGCGUAUGGGAAAGGAAAUUAUUCGGAAUCCGCGUGGAAAAGGAGUGGUCCGAUGAACCUUCACCUACUUGCCAAACGUACCGCCGAACCGGAUAACGCGUUGACGUUCACUUUGAAAUCGGCAAUGGAGAACAAAAAUUCCUUUUUGUCAAUUAUUCGAUUCCUGGGGUGUUCCAUCAAGGUACAUUCACCAGCAUUGGACGGCCAGGGACGAUACAUUAACAUAUUGAUCGCCACCGGAGUUACUAAAAUGUUUGAGGACAUACGAAGGAAACUGAUGUCGAAUUGAAAUAUUCAAUGACACAAGUAACUAAAUAAUACCACGGGAACUAUGGUAUCGAACUAUCAGUAACCAAUUCCAGUACCAUUGGUCGACGUGUUCACGUGUUAACCAGUUAACUGUGUUUGACGAGUAUACACGUCAUCGUAAAGCUUGACAUAUACUAAUUCUUUCAGCGAUGAAUUCUUUAUUUUUUCGCAUAAACAUCUAAUUCUUCUUUUUUUCGCUUUGAUCUUUCAUUAAAAUAUACUCUACGCGCAUUCGUCCCUUCGACGAGUACACGCUCCAUUUUUUAUUUUAUUAUCUAGACCGAGAGGUUUCUCCAACGAAAUUCCACAGUUAACCGGUUAAAGAUCAACAUUAUUUCCGAUGUGCAGAGGUCAUCGAGGAAAGGAGGACCGACGGCGUCGUCGCAGCGAGCGAAACCGAGAGUGCUUCCCACAGGCGUCGCGAACAAAAGCGAUUUCACUCGUUUGUCCGCGGAGCUCCGUUGCAAAACAAAGAAUACUGG